ensembl:lncRNA
CUUUUCUUUAUCUGGUUUCACUUUCCCAGUCUAGGUGUCAGCAUGUUCACAUGAAGGAGGCGCUGUUGGCAGCAUGUCACUGAUCAGGAACAGUUUUAACCUCGUUCUUUCAUCUGCAAUCACAGCUCAUGGACUGUACCUAUGAGGAGAUACAGGAGCGCCUCCAGCUGCCAGACUCAGAAAAUGCAACAAACACAAUUUAUGCCACCGUCAGCUCUCCAAACCCUGUGCCCUCAACACAUUAUGCUACCAUUAACUUUCAAAACUCCGAUAAAGCUGCUGCUGAGACAGUCAGACUCGGCUACUCUGCCUGUGAAUAUUCUACUGUGAAGUUUCCCAAAUGUCGAACUGACUCGAGUGACACCCAACUGUACCCGCCGACCGAGGAGCCGCUCUACUCAACAGUCAACAAGCUAAGAAAAUGAGAUCAUUUAUUUAAAGAAUAUAACAGAUUUAUGAAUAAAAAUAAUGUAUUUAGUGUUUGAGUCACAGUGAUUUUGUGAUGGUGUUUUGGUGCUGAUCUGUUCUGAGAUCUUAGAUUUUAUUUCCCCGUGAAGAUAAUUGGCGCGAUAUGGCAGCCUCGCUUCUGUCAGUCUGCCCCAGGGCAGCUGUGGCUACAACUGUAGCUUGCCUCCACUAGUGUAUGAAUGUGAGAGUGAAUGAAUAGUGGUAUUGCAAAGCGCUUUGGGUGCCUUGAAAAGCGCUAUAUAAAUCCAAUCCAUUAUUAUUAUUAUUAAAGCCUAUCAGGAAGAUACGGACCUGCCUCUUUCACAGGAGGAGAAGCCAACAAAGAGGUCAAGUGCUUUUGUACCACACUGUGGUACGAUACACAACAUCCACACUUAGAGCCACUGACUUUAACCACAAUGAAUGUGAAAGUAUCCUAAGCAUCUGGAUUGAAUAAUAAUAUAUCAAAAGAAUUAGCUGUUAUUUAUAACUUAACUCUCUACAGCACAGCAUUGCUGCUGGGCAACAACAUGCCCAGUACAGGUGAAAUGAACUGAGCCAACCAAUCAGAGUGUUGGAAAAAGUAUCAAAUUUCAGUCCUAUAAGAUGUUCGAGUCACUGUCGAGCAGUAUUAGUACGGUGGGGCAUCCUGUUCUGACACAUGGUCACAGGACCAGAUGAUGUGUGAAGCUGCCAUUGUAAGUGUAAUUAAAAU